CCAUCACUACGCUAGAUGUAUAUCAAUAAGCGGAGGAAAAGAAGCUAACAAGGAUUCCCUUAGUAACGGCGAGUGAAGCGGGAAGAGCUCAAAUUUGAAAUCUUCAAGGUUCUACCUUGACGAAUUGUAGUUUAAAGAAGUGUUUUCUGUUGAAGUUUUGGUAAAAGUUCUUUGGAAUAGGACAUCAUAGAGGGUGAGAAUCCCGUAUUUGACCAUUAUUUCCAGCUGUGUGAUACACUUUCAAAGAGUCGGAUUGUUUGGGAAUGCAGUCCAAAAUGGGUGGUAAAUUUCAUCUAAAGCUAAAUACUGGCGAGAGACCGAUAGCGAACAAGUACCGGGAGGGAAAGAUGAAAAGAACUUUGAAAAGAGAGUUAAACAGUACGUGAAAUUGUCAAAAGGGAAGCGUUUGACACCAGUGUUGUUUUCUCGAAAAUCAAUUAAAAAUGGCAGGAUUUUGUGUUGUAUUGACCUUUAAUCAGCUUUCAUCACUCCUUUUCUUGUCUUUUUUAAUGCACUUUUCGUUUAACAAGUCAACAUCAGUUUCUUUUGUUGUAAAAGGGUCAUUGGAAGGUGGCUUUCUUUUCGGAGAAAGUGUUUAUAGCCUUUGAUCUCUGCAACCGGAGAGACUGAGGUCUGCAGCGUAGACUCUUCGGGGUUAGAUGCAUUUGUGCUAAGUUAUAGCCUUUCAUAGACAACUUGUUGACUAUGAUCAGUCAUGUAGCUUACUCGCUUAUGUUAUUUUACCUACGCUUAGGAUGUUGAAGAUAUGCGCGACACG
rnacentral:rRNA from 1 species